rnacentral:rRNA from 1 species
AUGGCCUCCUCCACGAUGCCGCGCCGCGUCGCGCUGCUCCUGCUCCUCCUGGCAUCCACGCGCGCGGCGUCCGCGGCCGGCGCCGGCGCCUGCGCGGCCGAGAAGUUCCCGGCGGGGAAGACGUACGCCAAGUGCGAGGACCUCCCGCAGCUGGGCGCCGCGCUGCACUGGACCUACGACGAGGCCAAGUCGUCGCUCUCGCUGGCCUUCGUGGCGGCGCCGGCGGGGGCCAACGGGUGGGUGGCCUGGGCGCUGAACCCCACCGGCGAGGGCAUGGCCGGCGCGCAGGCGCUCGUGGCGCUCAAGGGCUCCGGCUCCGCCGCGCCCACCGUCAGGACCUACAACAUCACCGGCUACGUGCCGCUCGGCAAGGCCUCCACGCCCAUCGCGUUCCCGGCCACCGACCUCGCCGCCGACUCCGGCAGCGCCGGCAAGAUCCGGCUCUACGGCAAGCUGCAGCUGCACGGCGGGAUGAAGGCCGUGAACCACAUAUGGCAGGUCGGCACCUCCGUCACCGCCGGGGCCCCCGACAAGCACGCCUUCGCCGCCGGCAACCUCGCCUCCAAGUCCAAGCUCGUCCUCUCGGGCAAAGCGGCCUCCGCGACCUCGCCUUCGCCGGCGCCCGCCCCCAUGGCCGGCGGCCCGUCCGGAUCGGCCGGCAGCGACGGCGGCGCGGCGGCGACCACGGCGCCUUCCGCCGGCAAGUCCCCGUCGGGCGCGGCCGCGGCCGGCGUGUCGGCGCCGGCACUCCUCGUGCUCGCGUUGAUGGGCCUCCUCGCGGUAGUAUGA